UGGGGAAUAUUGCACAAUGGGCGCAAGCCUGAUGCAGCGACGCCGCGUGAGGGAUGACGGCCUUCGGGUUGUAAACCUCUUUCAGUACCGACGAAGCGCAAGUGACGGUAGGUACAGAAGAAGCACCGGCCAACUACGUGCCAGCAGCCGCGGUAAUACGUAGGGUGCGAGCGUUGUCCGGAAUUACUGGGCGUAAAGAGCUCGUAGGCGGUUUGUCGCGUCGUCUGUGAAAACCCGCAGCUCAACUGCGGGCUUGCAGGCGAUACGGGCAGACUUGAGUACUGCAGGGGAGACUGGAAUUCCUGGUGUAGCGGUGAAAUGCGCAGAUAUCAGGAGGAACACCGGUGGCGAAGGCGGGUCUCUGGGCAGUAACUGACGCUGAGGAGCGAAAGCGUGGGUA
rnacentral:rRNA from 1 species